UGACUUUGGUCAAAGUCAAACUGCUUUAAGUUUAACCAAUUUUAUAGAAAAAAGUAGUAGCAUUUUUAAUCCAAGACAAAUUUAUUGUGAAAAUAUAUUCAAUUAUUGAUUUUAUGAAACUAAUUUAGUAUUAUAAAUAUUACUAUAUUUUUCUAUAAACUUAGUCAAACUUAAAAUAGUUUGACUUUGACCAAAGUCAA
rfam:Oryza glaberrima chromosome 5 Oglab05_0008_14, whole genome shotgun sequence.